GUAGUCUCGCACAGAUGCAUAUCAAUAAGCGGAGGAAAAGAAACUAACAAGGAUUCCCCUAGUAACGGCGAGUGAAGCGGGAAGAGCUCAAAUUUGAAAUCUUAAAGGGUUUCCCUUUACGAAUUGUAGUUUAAAGAAGUGUUUUCUGUUGAGGUUUUGGUAAAAGUUCUUUGGAAUAGGACAUCAUAGAGGGUGAGAAUCCCGUAUUUGACCUUUACUUUCAACUUUGUGAUACACUUUCAAAGAGUCGGAUUGUUUGGGAAUGCAGUCCAAAAUGGGUGGUAAAUUUCAUCUAAAACUAAAUAUUGGCGAGAGACCGAUAGCGAACAAGUACCGUGAGGGAAAGAUGAAAAGAACUUUGAAAAGAGAGUUAAACAGUACGUGAAAUUGUCAAAAGGGAAGCGUUUGACACCAGUGUUGUUUUUCUGAAAAUCAAUUAAAGAACUGUUUAUGCUAAGCUUGUUUAGACUUUAUCAGCUAUCUGUUUAGUUUUGAGCUUUUCUUUAAUGCACUUUUCAGUUAACAAGUCAACAUCAAUUUCUUUUGCUGUAAAAAAGCUUGAGGAAGGUGGCUUGAGAUUCGUCUUAAGUGUUUAUAGCCUCUUGCCUAUGCAGUCGGAGAGAUUGAGGUCUGCAGCGUAGAUCCUUCGGGGCUAAAUGCAUUUGUGCUAAGUUAUAAGCAUUUUAUAGACAACUUGUUGACUAUGAUUUGUCUUGUAGCUUACUCGCUUAUGUUAUUUUACCUACGCUUAGGAUGUUGAUCUGUAGUGCGUGCGC
rnacentral:rRNA from 1 species